UGGGGAAUAUUGCACAAUGGAGGGAACUCUGAUGCAGCGACGCCGCGUGAACGAAGAAGGCUUUCGUGUCGUAAAGUUCUUUUAUAUGGGAAGAUAAUGACGGUACCAUAAGAAAAAGCCCCGGCUAACUACGUGCCAGCAGCCUCGGUAAUACGUAGGGGGCUAGCGUUGUCCGGAAUCACUGGGCGUAAAGGGUUCGCAGGCGGAAAUGCAAGUCAGGUGUAAAAGGCAGUAGCUUAACUACUGUAAGCAUUUGAAACUGCAUAUCUUGAGAAGAGUAGAGGUAAGUGGAAUUUUUAGUGUAGCGGUGAAAUGCGUAGAUAUUAAAAAGAAUACCGGUGGCGAAGGCGACUUACUGGGCUCAUUCUGACGCUGAGGAACGAAAGCGUGGGUAGCAAACAGG
rnacentral:rRNA from 1 species